rnacentral:rRNA from 1 species
AAUAGAUACCCCGGUAGUCCACACCGUAAACGUUGGGCGCUAGGUGUGGGAUCCAUUCCACGGGUUCCGUGCCGCAGCUAACGCAUUAAGCGCCCCGCCUGGGGAGUACGGCCGCAAGGCUAAAGCUCAAAGGAAUUGACGGGGGCCCGCACAAGCGGCGGAGCAUGCGGAUUAAUUCGAUGCAACGCGAAGAACCUUACCUGGGUUUGACAUACACCGGAAGCCUCCAGAGAUGGGGGUCUCUUUGAUACUGGUGUACAGGUGGUGCAUGGCUGUCGUCAGCUCGUGUCGUGAGAUGUUGGGUUAAGUCCCGCAACGAGCGCAACCCUCGUCCUAUGUUGCCAGCGGGUUAUGCCGGGGACUCAUAGGAGACUGCCGGGGUCAACGUCGGAGGAAGGUGGGGAUGACGUCAAGUCAUCAUGCCCCUUAUGUCCAGGCUUCACGCAUGCUACAAUGGCCGGUACAAAGGGCUGCGAUGCUGUAAGGCGGAGCGAAUCCCAAAAAGCCGGUCUCAGUUCGGAUUGGGGUCUGCAACUCCG